ensembl:lncRNA
AUGAGAGGUGAAACGUCUUCAAGCAACUUAAAGAAGUCCAGACGCUUUUCUUUGCAAACUCCUUUGACUACGAUGACCUGGAUGACUGAGAACCUUCACAGACAUAUUGCCGUACAUUUUGGGAGGAACACCCUUCAACUGGUAUGGGAGUAUGAAAGGGAAUCAAGGAAACUGGCGGAUUAUAGGAACCACCUUCAUUUCAACCUAAGAUGCAGACAAAGCAGAGUUGUUCCUAAGAGCUUGCGCCUUGGAUCCACUGUCAGGGGACACAGAGCAGACUUGAUUCUACAGAGAGCACAGAAUCACCUUUUAAGUGAAAGGAUAAGACAGGUCCAUUUCACUAUAGAUGCCCUCCAGAUCAAGAUCAGCCAGACUCUGCAGGAAUUGGAAACCCUUCUACCCUCUCCAAUCUUAGAAGAGGUUCACAAGUUUGUGGACAAGGCUCAGCGGGCCCAACACUCUCAAGGAAAAGAAUUACAACGCAGGAAAUUUCACACCUUGCUUUCAAAAACCCACAAUCCUCAGUCUGAAACCACACAACUCAGAGAAGAAAACACACCUGAAGACAGUCAGGAGAAAUGGGUAAAGAACUUUUCAGACCGGAAUCUCACUGAACCUGAAAAGAGGGUUUUAGCCAAAGGACUCAAUUUCGCCAUUUCUCCGCAACAGUUGCCCAUAGUGGACCUCAUCACAGCCACAGAAACCGCCAUACGGAUUAAUAAAUUAUCACAGACAGAAGCAGAGCAAAUCAGGAUGAAAGUCUCAGCCACCCUCUCCAGUGCGAAAGUCCCUCCGUCUAACCUUACAUUACAAGAAAAGAAGGCCGUCGCUUCCCUGAGCAAAGACCACAACAUCACUAUAUUACCAGCGGAUAAGGGAAGGUGCACCGUGGUCCUAAACACAACAGAUUACCACACAAAGAUCACUACUCUCCUCAGUGACAACAACACCUACGAAGCUUUAAAACGAGACCCCACAAGCAGUUACAAAAAGAAAGUUAUAGCUUGCCUUCAAAACCUUGAAAAGGACAAAACCAUUGACCGCAUUACAUACCACCGCCUUUAUCCAGGGGAUGCCAUACCCUGCAUUUAUGGACUUCCUAAAAUCCACAAGGAAGGGGUCCCACUCAGACCCAUAGUCAGUAGCAUAAACUCAGCCACUUAUAACAUUGCGAAACACCUUGCUACCAUCCUCGCACCUCUCGUGGGGAACACCCCACACCACAUCAAGAACUCCACCGACUUCACCGACAAGGUCCAGAAACUUACCCUGGAUCCAGAUGAAACCAUGGUGUCCUUUGAUGUAGUCUCUCUCUUCACUUGCAUACCCACCAAGGAGGCAGUGGAGACGACUACAAGAAGACAGCUCCUUGGAAGACAGGACCAACUUCACACCCGAUCAGAUUUGCACACUGUUAGACCUCUGCCUUACCACAACAUACUUCAAAUACAACGAAGGCUACUACAGACAAAAACAUGGCUGUGCCAUGGGCUCCCCCGUGUCACCUAUUGUAGCCAACCUUUACAUGGAGGAAGUGGAAAGAAAGGCUCUUGGCUCUUUUAA